rnacentral:tRNA from 1 species
CAGACCGGAAACGGACUGCACGGGGCUAUAGCGCAGUUGGUAGCGCGCUUCGUUCGCAUCGAAGAGGUCAGGGGUUCGAUUCCCCUUAGCUCCACUUUCAGAGGCAGUGAAAAAACCGCCCCUGACCUGGUAAGGGUCAGGGGCGGUUUGCUGUUCCGGGACUAGCUGGAAUCUUGUUCGUCGGUGCCGGUCCGCAGUCCGUCCGCAGCGUCGGUGUUAGCUGCCCGCGCCGCGCGGUCGAGAGCGUCCGCGACCGCCUCCAGAUUAUCGGGGGAGAGAUCGGCGUAGGUAUCGAGGGUCAUCGCUGCCGACUUGUGCCCGAGCAUGAUCUGUACCGCCUUGGGGUUCGCGCCCGCGCUGAUCGCCAGCGACGCAGCGG